rnacentral:rRNA from 1 species
CCCAGACUCCUACGGGAGGCAGCAGUGAGGAAUAUUGGUCAAUGGUCGGGAGACUGAACCAGCCAAGCCGCGUGAGGGAGGAAGGUACAGAGUAUCGUAAACCUCUUUUGUCAGGGAACAAAGGCGGGGACGUGUCCCCGGAUGAGUGUACCUGAAGAAAAAGCAUCGGCUAACUCCGUGCCAGCAGCCGCGGUAAUACGGAGGAUGCGAGCGUUAUCCGGAUUUAUUGGGUUUAAAGGGUGCGCCGGCGGUGUGUUAGAGCGGGGCACAAGCCCGGGGCCCCACCCCCGGCCCGCCGUUGAAACUGGCAGUCUCGAGUUGGAGAGAAGUAUGCGGAAUGCGCGGUGUAGCGGUGAAAUGCAUAGAUAUCGCGCAGAACUCCGAUUGCGAAGGCAGCAUGCCGGCUCCACACUGACGCUGAGGCACGAAAGCGUGGGUAUCGAACAGGAUUAGAUACCCCAGUAA